rnacentral:rRNA from 1 species
CCUACGGGAGGCAGCAGUGGGGAAUAUUGGGCAAUGGACGCAAGUCUGACCCAGCAAUGCCGCGUGAAGGAAGAAGGCUUUCGGGUUGUAAACUUCUUUUAAGGGGGAAGAGCAGAAGACGGUACCUCUUGAAUAAGCAACGGCUAACUACGUGCCAGCAGCCGCGGUAAUACGGAGGUGGCAAGCGUUGUCCGGAUUUACUGGGUGUAAAGGGCGUGUAGCCGGAGAGACAAGUCAGAUGUGAAAUCCACGGGCUCAACCCGGGAACUGCAUUUGAAACUGUUUCGCUUGAGUGUCGGAGAGGUAAUCGGAAUGCGUGGUGUAGCGGUGAAAUGCGUAGAUAUAAGACAGAACACCGGUUGCGAAGGCAGAUUAC